rnacentral:rRNA from 1 species
AUUGAACGCUGGCGGCAGGCCUAACACAUGCAAGUCGGACGAGUGGCGGACGGGUGAGUAAUGCUUGGGAAACUGGCUGAUGGAGGGGGAUAACUACUGGAAACGGUAGCUAAUACCGCGUACCAUCGGAUGUGCCCAAAUGGGAUUAGGUAGUGGGUGGGGUAAUGGCUCACCAAGGCGACGAUCCCUAGCUGGUCUGAGAGGAUGACCAGCCACACUGGAACUGAGACACGGCCCGGACUCCUACGGGAGGCAGCAGUGGGGAAUAUUGCGCAAUGGGGGCAAGCCUGAUGCAGCCAUGCCGCGUGAAUGAAGAAGGCCUUCGGGUUGUAAAGUUCUUUCAGCGAGGAGGCGUUAAUCACAGAAGAAGCACCGGCUAACUCCGUGCCAGCAGCCGCGGUAAUUC